CCCUAGCCCUGAUGGGAGCGGUAUCCUUUUUGUCUGCCGCGGCGGACAAAAAGAUAUAGCGUACAGCAGGAAAUAGC
rnacentral:sRNA from 1 species